CCUACGGGUGGCAGCAGUGAGGAAUAUUGGUCAAUGGGCGCGAGCCUGAACCAGCCAAGUCGCGUGCGGGAGGACGGCCCUACGGGUUGUAAACCGCUUUUGCCGGGGAGCAACGUGCGUCACGUGUGGCGCCACUGAGAGUACCCGUAGAUAAAGCCUCGGCUAACCCCGUGCCAGCAGCCGGGGGAAUACGGAGGAUGCGAGCGUUAUCCGGUUUUAUUGGGUUAAAGGGGUGCGUAGGCGGAUCGUUAAGUCAGUGGUAAAAUUGAGGGGCUCAACCUGUUCCCGCCAUUGAAACUGGCGUUCUUGAGUGGAAGGGACGUAUGCGGAAUGCGUGGUGUAGCGGUGAAAUGCAUAGAUAUCACGCAGAACCCCGAUUGCGAAGGCAGCAUGCCGGCGUCCGACUGACGCUGAAGCACGAAGGCGUGGGGAUCGAACAGGAUUAGAUACCCGUGUAGUC
rnacentral:rRNA from 1 species